rnacentral:tRNA from 1 species
GGGUGUUUAGCUCAGUGGUAGAGCAUUUGACUGUAGAUCAAGAGGUCACCGGUUCAAACCUGGUAGGGCGCU